GGAAUCCUCUGUUACUGUCACAGGGACACCGGUGAGGGGUUGGGAAUCCUCUGUCACUGUCACAGUGACACCGGUGUCCCCGUGUGAGGGUUGGGAAAUCCUCUGCUGGUGUUUGGUCACUGUCACAGUGACACCGGUGUCCCCCUGUGAGGGUUGGGGACUCCCCUGCCACUGUCACAGUGACACCGGUGUCCCCGAGUGAGGGUUGGGAAAUCCUCUGCUGGCAGUAGGUCACUGUCACAGUGACACCGGUGAGAGUUGGGAAUCCUCUGUCACUGUCCCGGUGACACCGUGACACGGUGACACCGGUGUCCCCGAGUGAGGGGUUGGGGAAUCCUCUGCCACUGUCACGGUGACACCGUGACACGGUGACACCGGUGUCCC